UCCCACGGCUGCCUCGGCGCCGGCCCUUGGCUGGACGGGCCAUGCUCGUGAACCAGCCCCGCACUGUCCGUAAAGGACAUUUAGUGAUAAUCGCGAAUAGCCUUAUUAUUUUCUCCUCAUUUUGUACAGGAAAUUAGAUUCAUAUAUAAAAACAAGGAAUUAUAUUCAUAUAGUUCCAUCUAUAUACAAAACAUAAUUACCAUUAUGAUUACUAUUAUUUUUUAACAAUUAAGAGAGCAGAUGACAUUUAUCCAGCACCUACUGUGUACCAGGCGGGAGCCUUAUGACAACCAAAUGAAGUAAGUCCUAUUGUUACGCCCCAUUUGCCAAACCGUCAGCUACUUUGGGCUCCACCGUGUCCCCGGCAUCUAGAACAGCACCCGGCACACAUCAGGCGCUUCGAUGCUAUUUGGUGGCAUUGUUGAGUCGGAGGGCUAGUUCACCGGACAAGUGGCUGUUGGGCGGAUUAUCCAGCAGCAGCAGGGGUUCCCGGAGCUUGGAGACUGGCCCUUUGCUCUACAGCUGAGUGCGUCGGCACAGGCGCGGAGGCCGAGAACGUGAACUUGAGGGCCACAAUGACAAGACUCACAGUCCAGGUCCACCGUGGGUGAGAUCUGGGGCCUCGGCCUCUCUGGGCCUCAACUUCCUCAUCUGUGUAGUGGACAUCUUGC